rnacentral:rRNA from 1 species
CAGCAGCCGCGGUAAUACGUAGGGUGCGAGCGUUAAUCGGAAUUACUGGGCGUAAAGCGUGCGCAGGCGGUUCGUUAAGACAGAUGUGAAAUCCCCGGGCUUAACCUGGGAACUGCAUUUGUGACUGGCGAGCUAGAGUAUGGCAGAGGGGGGUAGAAUUCCACGUGUAGCAGUGAAGUGCGUAGAGAUGUGGAGGAAUACCGAUGGCGAGGGCAGCCCCCUGGGCCAAUACUGACGCUCAUGCACGAAAGCGUGGGGAGCAAACAGGAUUAGAUACCCCGGUAGUCCCUGUCUCUUAUAC